AUCCACCUUCAUCCUUUCACAUCCUCCCAUCUACUUACUCAUCUACCCACCCAGCCACCCAUCCAUCCAUCUGACAAAAAAUGUAUCUGAGUGCCUGCUCUGUGGAGGGAUGAGAAACCUGGAAGACAUCGUUAGCAUUCAGGGUAUCCACUGCAGUAGAUGCCAAGGCCUGUUUGGGGAAUAGGUGUAUUUGUAUGGCUAGAGGUCAGAGGAUGUGGACAGUAGAUAAUACCAGGUGGGUUGGCUGGACCUAGGUUAGGAAGGGCUUUGAAGGUGCAGUCAAGGUUUGGGGUUUAUCCAGUGAGCAGUGGGAGCCAUCAUACCAUUUACAGCAUUGCAGUGGCAGAAUCUGAUUUGUAGGGGACUACAGAGAAGGGAUUGUAGGUUCUGAGAUGGUGAGCACCGGGAUGUCCUCAAAUGUAGGCAAGAGAUGAUGUGACAGAGCCUUAGGCAGUCAGGUGGGCGUGGUUGGUACAGAGAGUGGAAGAUAGAAGUGGAGAGAAUGAAGAGGCAGCAGCAGGAUCUAGUGCAUGGGGAGAAUGCCACAGCAGGUCGAUGACCUUAGGUCCUGGCUGGGUUGACAGGGGUGUGGAGGUGGAGUGGGUGUCCAUGAAGGCAGAUGGGCUGGCUGGGCCUCCUCCUGGUGCACCCCGUCUUCCAAAUAGGAUGUGGCUCAAGGGUGGCUCAAACAACUGGCUCACUUUGAACCUGUAAGCCUUCUCAGGGAUACCAGGGCUCAGGCUGUGUCAUGGAUGCCUGGGAAAGGAAUUCGCACUGGUAGCUUGGCUGAGGGCUAGGGGAGAAGAUGGGCCCGAUCCUGCUUGUUUGCUAAUGUUGGAAAGCUGGGGACUUCCCCAUGGUGUCUCGGUUCCUGGAGAAGUUAGCUCUGUUCUUUUCUGGGUGCUGUGAUGUGCUCCCCACCGCAUCUUUUUCCUUGCAGCUAGUUGAUGCUUUGCACAGAAGUGCUUGUCAUUUUGAUGCACACAAAAUGACCACAUUCCCCCUGGGAAUCAGGCCUUCCCUUGGGCACUGCAUCUCUGCAGGUGGCUCAGGGCAAUGCAGAAUUUCAAAUACUACCUCCCAGGGAGCUUCUCCAGCCUCCCCUUCUGUUCCUUCCCCUGGCUUGGCUGUCCCCUGAGUGAAAGACUGACCUUUACACAUGCACUCUAGCUGCUAAAGCCUCUUUUGAUUGCAAAACCCUUUCUGGUGGUUUUUUAGUCCUGUGGCAACUGCUACUUGGGAUGGUGGAGGACCACCUGCCAACAAGGUGACUUUUUCUGAGGGAUGAGCCAGGAUUUCAGGGAGUGUGGCAUGGAUACACCGUGCACAUGCUUAUCUGAAUGUGGCCUGCACACAUGGCGCAUGUAAGGUGGUAGGUGUAUACCCACAUGACUGCACAUAGACGCACAGCUUGGAAUUUCCCAUCACUGGGUUUGGCUCCUGGGGGCACAGGUGACUCAGAGGCCAUGGGAAAAGGAAUUUCUCUUUCCUGAGUCCUUGCCUGCUAGCAGAAUAUCUGCAUUUUUGUUCUUCCCUUUAGGAUAAGGCUGGUUUCAGUUGUUGCUUUUUUAUCUCAUUGCUCUUUACCUUUAUGAAACAGCCUUCAAAGAAGCAGCAUGGAACAUUGGAAAAAGCAGAAGCUGUGCAAUUGGUCAAGUCUGACUUUGAAUGUUGGCACUGGGGCCUGCUAUUCAUGUGAACUUGAGCAAGUUGCAUUAAGUCUCUGAGCUCCCUUUUAUCGUCUGUAAAAUGGGAUGAGAGUCAUACUUUCUACCUCACAUGGUUGGGUAGUUGUAAAGAUGGCACAGCAAUGGAAUGAUCUGAUACCCUGUAAAUAUUGCUCUGAUUAUUUGGAUGAGGUUCAGGAAGGCAGGAUAGUGUAGUAAUUACGAGCUUUGCCUCUGAAACCAGGUAGAGCAGGGAUCCUAUCCCAACUGUGCCCCUUAUAAAUUGUGUGGCCUAGUGCAAGUUACUUUGCCUCUCUGGACUUCAGUUUUCUCAUCUGAGCAAAGUAAUAGAUUUCUUCCAUAGCACCGGCCCAGUGCUUCAGAGUGUGAAUUAGGGAUGAGGCAGUUGAGGAAAGUGAAGAUUCUGGUUGGAGGGUGUGCCCAGGUGAUUUUCAUAGCAUGCACACCCAAGUUCAAGAAUCAUGAUGCCUUUAGGACAAAUACCUAAUGCAUGUGAGGCUUAAAACCUAAAUGAUGGGUUGAUGGGUGCAGCAAAACACCAUGGCCCGUGUAUACCUAUGUAACAAACCUGCACGUUCUGCACAUGUAUCCCAGAACUUAAAGUUGAAAAAAAAAGAAUCAUGGUGCUUGACUGUUGACUUUUUAAGAGCGGGCGCCCUGUCUGGGUGCUUCCCACUGUGCCCAGUACACAGCAUGGCUUCCAGCAUCUGCCAAGUGCUCACUAAAUUUUUGAUUGAAUAAACAAAUUAUAUGACUUAAUGCACCCUAAAUGCUUAGCAUAGUGACUAGCACAGAAGGACUUUUGCAGGUAUCAGAAUGUUUCGUUGUUAAUGAUAGAGACGGUCCAUUUCUGAAUAUAAGUCAGCAGAAUCUAGCACUCCUGGCUCCCAAGGUACAUUUGCUGCUACUUGCGUGUACUGGGGGUUGGGUCCCCUCAGUGUUCACUGCAAUGUGUUUGGUUUCCACUGAGACAGACCAUCGAGAGCCAAGCCUAAUUUAUACCCUCUUGAACAAAGGGGACAAGAUCUCUCACACCUAUGGGGUCCUGGCUGGACCCAUCUGCCACUGGUUUCUUGCCUCUGGAGGGGCUGGCACAGCGUGGGACCCUCUGUGCUGACAAGGAAGACUUGUACACGCUAUUGCAGGGCACAAGGAAUCCAUUUUUAUUAAGUUUGUAGGCAAUUGUGACAGAGGACUGGGCUGGCUUUUUAUUGUUUGGGUUUCUUGGCUUGGGCCUGGAGCAAGGAAGUCAUUCAGGAAAGGCCUUUCCUGUGUGAGGAAGAGCAAGUAUUACCAGAAGCCACUGGAACCCAGAGCACCAGAAGAGGAAAUGGGAACAAUAUCACACCCACCCACCCACCCACCCACUGUGGCAUAUUCGGGGUCUAAGUCAUGUCACACAGGCAUGGGAUAUAGGUAGGAGUCAGUGAUCUCAGCUGGCCCCUCACUUUGCAGAUGAAAAAGCCUGGGUCCUAGGGACAGAUGGGAUUUGCAUCAGGUCAGUGGGUGGUGAGAGGAGGAGCAGAGGCUCUGAUGUGCUGGGCGCUGAAGCCAGGCGCUUUCCACUGUUCCAUGCUUCCCUGCCCUUCCCCACACCCCCGGCCCCUGGCAUGCUGUGCACCAUUUCCCCACAGUGGGAAAGACUCCAGCAGGACUUGGUUAGUGGUGCCCUGUGCAGAAGCCAGGUCCUUGGUGGGUGGUAAGGAUGGUGGGGACAGGGUAGCAGAGAAGGGACAUCCCUGACCUCAAAUGGGUGGCAGGCCCAGUUCCAGGGUGGGUCUCCAUUGAGGCCACUUUGUCCUCAUCACACUCCUGUCACUUCAGCCAAGGUGGCCUACUAAAGAUUCCUGCUGUUAGGGAAGGAAGCUAAGACAGUGGACACCUGGUUAAGUAAAUUCUAUUUACCCCCAAGGAUCCCUUCAGAGGGUUCUGCACACAACAACUUGCAAUGAUCACAGAUCAGCCUGGCUGGAAUUAACAACCUCCUGAAAUGAGACUCUAGAAACAUCCAAGACAUAGCCAUUUGGCAGGCUCUAUUCCCUAAGUGGUAGAAGCAAAAAGACCUGGGAAGCUGGUGCGUCCUUAAUAAUAGUAACUAACACUGACCAAGCACUUUCCAUGCACCAGAUCCUUCCCAAGUACUUUAGACACACUGGUGCAUUAGUGCCUGCAACAACCUUAUGGCGAAGGUCAUAUUUACUCUUUCUCCACACAGUGGAAAAGGCUGCCGAGGGUUCCAUGUACCCCGCUCCUCACCCACAAACUAAUGGAUCCUUCUCAACCACUGAAGCUUAUUUUCUGACCAUUAAAGACUUUGCCCAAAGGCUGGAAGAAAGGCUGUAGCCGGGGCUUAGAAAGCAAAGCAAAACAAAACUUUGGCACUAACAUGUUAGAAAGUGCUGUCAAAAGCAAAUCAAUCAGAAAUAACGAAGAAAGGGUCUCUUAGUAUAAAGGAACUCAAAGGCAAACUGGAAUUUGCUUUAUACAAAUGUGAUACAUGCAGAGAGGUGACCAAGGUUACACAGCUAGAAAGUAGUAGAGAUUUGAACCCAUGCUGCCUAACUCCAGAAUCAAUGUUCUUGACCUCUUUACUCUACAUUCUCUUUUUGACACCUAGGUUUUUCUUCUUUGAGGUUUGCAUGACUGUUUUCUGGAACAAGGAUGUGGCAGGAAUUAUUCUUUCCAUGUGAAAAGUGAGAAGCAUGUGAUGAUUUCUUCAUUCAUUCACUGAAGAAUUGCGUGUGCCAGCGCUGCGCCCUUUGUUGGGAUGACUGAUACAGGGUGAAGACAGAUGUGUAAAGAAACAUGCAGAUAACAUGGAAGUAGGAGUGAUCUGGAGAGGGAUCCAGGUUGCUGUGGGAGCCCAGAGGCAUCAGUCCAUGGCUGGCUGCAUCUGGUAGGGAGAGAGGCUGAGGGAAAGGCUAGAUCUACAAGCAGGGGAGCCUUGAGU